rnacentral:rRNA from 1 species
GACGAACGCUGGCGGCGUGCUUAACACAUGCAAGUCGAACGGAAAGGCCCUGCUUGCAGGGUACUCGAGUGGCGAACGGGUGAGUAACACGUGGGUGAUCUGCCCUGCACUUCGGGAUAAGCCUGGGAAACUGGGUCUAAUACCGGAUAGGAGCCAUUUUUAGUGUGAUGGUUGGAAAGUUUUUUCGGUGUAGGAUGAGCUCGCGGCCUAUCAGCUUGUUGGUGGGGUAAUGGCCUACCAAGGCGGCGACGGGUAGCCGGCCUGAGAGGGUGGACGGCCAAUUGGGACCGAGAUAAGGCCCAGACCCCUACGGGAGGGAGCAGUGGGGAAUAUUGCAAAAUGGGGGGAAGCCUGAUGCAGCGACGGCGCGGGGGGGAUGACGGCCUUUGGGUUGUAAACCCCCUUCGGCAGGGACGAAGCUUUUUGUGACGGUACCUAGAUAAGAAGCACCGGCUAACUACGUG